rnacentral:rRNA from 1 species
CAGUCGCCGCGGUAAUACAGAGGGUGCGAGCGUUAAUCGGAUUUACUGGGCGUAAAGCGUGCGUAGGCGGCUUUUUAAGUCGGAUGUGAAAUCCCUGAGCUUAACUUAGGAAUUGCAUUCGGUACUGGGAAGCUAGAGUAUGGGAGAGGAUGGUAGAAUUCCAGGUGUAGCGGUGAAAUGAGUAGAGAUCUGGAGGAAUACCGAUGGCGAAGGCAGUCAUCUGGCCUAAUACUGACGCUGAGGUACGAAAGCAUGGGGAGCAAACAGGAUUAGAUACCCCCGUAGUCCCUGUCUCUUAUAC